rnacentral:miRNA from 1 species
UACGUUGUCUGCUGGGUUUU